UCUCCCAGAAACAAAAUGGCAGCCAAGGGCCCCACUUCCUAUUAGGGUCAAAGAGGAGGAGCCCCUCCUCAGGUGGACCUCAGACGGGACGGGAAGGUGUCCAGAGGCCUUCAAUUAAAGGCAUUCAGGCUGGAUGAUUCACUGGCCAAAGUCUCGCUUGGGAUCUGGGUAACCUUCAGCCUCGGCUUUCACAACCAGACCUGAAAGUGGAAAUGCAAUGGCAUGGAUAAUCCUGACACUGGUAGUCAACGCUAUAGCUUUACACUUCUGGAACCUGUCUAGUUCCUUCAUAACAGCCCUUCCAAGUCCAAGUCUUCUUCCGAUGCCUUUACUGCAGUCUCUAUUCAGAUUAAUGAGUGAGCCAAGGAGGCCUGGCACAAGGGUGACCUUACCCCUGCGGUGGGGACCCCCCCCCCCCAAUUUGGG